CUUACCAUCGUCUUCGCUCUCAGGUUCUGUAUCAAUUUCGUCUUCGCUAAAAUCGUA
rnacentral:sRNA from 1 species